rnacentral:lncRNA from 1 species
UUUUUUUUUUUUAUUUUAAAUUUUUUAUUUUUUGGUCCUAUCCGAGGCAUGUGGAAGUUCCUGGGCCGGAGACUGAACCUUAGCCACAGCAGGGACAACACGGGAUCCUUAACUGCCAGGCCACCAGGGAACUCCUUGGUUUUUUGUUGUUGUUGUUUGUCUGUUUGUGUUUAUUGUCUGUUUUUUUUUUAAGGCCUCACCAGCAGCAUGUGGAGGUUCCCAGGCUUGGAGGCGAAUUGGAGGUGUAGCCUCCGGCCUACCCAGAGCCACAGCAGUGCCAGAUCAGAGCUGUGUCAGUCUGCGACCUAUACCACAGGUCACACGGCAAUGCCAGAUCCUUAACCCACUGAGCAAGGCCAGGGAUCGAACCCACAACCUCAUGGUUCCUAGUCAGAUUCGUUCCACUGUGCCACUACAGCAACUCCGGAACUCCUUGUUAUUGUUUUAAGCAGAGGGCCCUUUUGGCCAGGUUUGGUCAAAGGACCGAUGCGAUGGUUCACUUUUUGUCAACUCCUAUACAGGGCUGGUCUUACACUUGGGGAUAAAGUCUGGGAAACAUUCAUAUGUUCCUAAAUACUAUAUGUGAUGUUAACUAGUUCAGUCAUUUCUGUGUUAUACUUGGACCACUUUUGUUUUUUUCUGCUGCACCCAUAGCAUAUGGAAGUUUCUGGGCCAGGGAUCAAACCCCAGCCAUAUCCACAACCUACACCACAGUUGCAGCAAGGCCAGAUCCUUAUCCCAUUGCACCAGGUUGGGGAAUCAAACCCGUGCUGCCACAGAGAGAACUCCAGAUCUUUAAUCCAUUAUACCACAGCAGGAACUCCUGGACUAAUAUUUUUAACCCACUAUUUGGGAUGAAAAUAAGACUGAAACUCAAAGGACAGCAAAUAGUGAGAGUGUACAAACACAAGACAAAAAUCACUAAAAGGGACCCAGGAUUUGGGCAUGGUUAAGAAAGAUGGGGGAAAAAAAAAAAAUCCCCAGACUCAAAACACACAAUUCAGUUGACUUUCUUUGUUCCACACUGAAAAUACAAGCAAAACACGAGGAAUAUGAUACCAAGCAGAUUUGCUGGGUCACUUUCAAUUCAAAAUGAAAUCUGGAAGUUCCCGUUGUAGCUCAGCGGAAACGAAUCUGACUAGGAACCAUGAGGUUGAGGGUUUGAUCCCUGGCCGCGCUCAGUGAGCUAAGGAUCCAGUGUUGCCAUGAGCUGUGAUGUAGGUAGCAGACAUGGCUCGGAUCUGGCAUUGCUGUGUCUGUGGCGUAGGCCGGUAGCUAUAGCUCUGAUUGGACCCCUAACCUGGGAACUUCCAUAUGCCGAGGGUAUGGCCCUAAAAAAAGACAAAAGACAAAAUAAGUAAAUAAAUAAAAUAAAAUAAAAUCUGUCCCUCACAGGGCAGAAAUCCAUCAAAGAGAAGGUGGGAAAGGAGGUGGACCACAGUGGAGAUGCUGCACUGGAAGUGUGGCAACGUCAUCACUUUCAGGCGGCCAGGGAGCUGGUGGUGGUGGGAACGGACCUUGAAAAGGAUCCAAUGCAACCAGCUUUUCUUAAAUUAAUUAAUUAAUUAAUUUAUGUCUUUUCUAGGGCCACACCCACAGCACAUGGAAGUUCCCAGGCUAGGGGUUAAAUCAGAGCUACAGCUGCUAGCCUAUACCACAGCCACAGCAAUGUGGGAUCUGAGCCCCCACUGAGCAAGGCCAGGGAUCAAACCCUUGGCUUCAUGGAUACUAGUCUGGCUAGUUAACCACUAAGCCACGACGGAAACUCCCCUGCCUUUCUGUUUAUUAAACAACGAGGUGACCAGGAGGCAGGGGCAAAACCUGAAUUCAUUUUUAGGUAUAUUUCAACUCUGCACCACCUGUCCUUCUCUUGAGCUCAAGUUACUAAUAAAGUGUGGAAUCUGUUAAACCAUUAACAUCAUUUCCUUCUUUUGGGUGUCUCUUUUUUUAAAUUUUUUUUAUUUUUUAGGGCUGCACCUGAGGCUCAUGGAAGUUACUAGGCUAGGGGUCAAUCAGAGCUGCAGCUGCAGGCCUCCACCAUAACCAUACCCAAGCCAGAUCUUUAACCCACUGAAAGAAGCCAAGGAUCAAACCCACACCCCAACAGACACUACAUCAGGCUCUCAACCUACUGAGCCACAAUGGCAACUCCUCCGUGUCUUUUUAAGCUAAGCAGGAUUUCCCUGGGCCCAUCAAGGUAAAGGAGAAAGAGCCCCUGAUAAUACACUUCAAGAUGAAAUGGGUAGCACACCAGGUGUCAUCUAUGCAUUUCAAAGUAACAUAGGUCCCUUGCUGUGGGGUUAAAAUAAUGAUCUUAGGAGUUCCCGUCAUGGCGCAGUGGUCAACGAAUCUGACUGGGAACCAUGAGCUCCUGUAUUCUAUGUUUCACAAAUAGAAAUUAUGCUACUUUUUAUAAAUUAUCAUUAAGUUUAACACUCUAUCAAACACAUUAUCAAAAAAAAAAAAACCUUAAUUUUUUUUCUUUGGCAUUAAACUUAAGUUCCCAGUUCUGUAAUCUGGAACUUCAGACCAAGAUAGGAAAAUAUAAAAUUGAGCAAAAGGGUAAAGCCCAGAAAAGAAGACCUUUAUUUCUGAACAAAACAGACCCAAAUAUCUACACUUGCUAAGAUCUGAUGUAAUGCAGCAACAAGCUGUUUCUUUCCCCUCCUUAGGAAACUGACGUUGACAUACCCACAAUAAAAGAAGCAUGAACUAGCAAGGCAGGUUACCAGUCUCUGUAGACUAAAGCUGCAUUACUAAGAAGUAGUUUAAGAUGACUAUAAAAAUAUUCACAGACUUCAAAAUGACUGUGACUUUUGGCCUGCUAACCAGCCCAGGCAGGAAAGAGCAAGGUAAGUACUAAGGGAAUGCAGGGAGAAAGAGCUUACACUGUAAACUAUCUUAACUUGGACUAACACAGGUUCAAAACAGAGCCCAACACCACAACCUAUAGAAUAUUCAUUACUUCUCAAAAAGAAGGCCCGCGUGUGAGCACACGCGCGCGCGCGCGCGCACACACACACACACACAGGUUACCUAGAAAAGGACUUCCGGAACUGCCCUCACAUAAGUCCUGAUUGUUAAGUAAUAUUUAUUAAUCCAUUCACCUAUUUGUUCACUCAACAAAUAUUUGUCAGAGCCCUGACACGUGAGACACGGAAUGCUCAAACUAUAAGAAAGCUAUGAACCCAGGCUGCACCAUGACUAGCAAAGCUGUGGGGUGGGGAGAGAGGGUCAGUAUAUGCCUCACGUGCCCAGAAAUAAAUAAGCAAUUUAAUUUUUACACUCGGGGUUUACUUGCAACAUCAAAUUUAUGUAGAAGAGAAAGAGGGUGCCCUUUAAAAGAAAAAAAAAAAGUCAGAUCAAAAGCAUCAUUAAUCACUGUCUCUUUUAAAUUAAAAGGUUCGCAAAAAGGUGGGCACGGAAGCAACGUGGGAAACAAAUCACUCCCCUUGCUGAGUGAGGGUCAGAGUCUAAAUGGGAGAGUCCUCGGUAUUUACCCAGCUCAUCUCCUGCGUAAUGGAUCUGGAGAAGAGAUUUCCGCUAGGGCUCUGCUCAUCUGAGGCUUGGCUUCUGCUUUUUAAAAAAUGACACUUGGGUGGGUGACUGUAGAAUUGUGCCUGGUUUUAGAAAUCAGCCUUCCGAGUGUUCUCUUAGUAAGAUCCUCAUGUUCAUGAUGGGACCUAGGAGAUCCUGAGCCAUUGCCAAGGCACUUGGUCGAUGAGCCUAGGGCUGGACUCUUUGGGUGGCCAGGCCUUGGAAAGCAAAGGUGGGGCAAGCUCAGUGCACCUGGAAAGGACUUACCAUGCACUGGCUGCAUGGGCUAGGGUAGCCCCAAAGAGAUUCCCUUAAAAUCUAUCAUGUCUCACCAAGGAGCUCCCAGGACCACGUUCCCCACCGCCUUGCCCUUCAGAACACCUCAUCCACUCCCACACUGGCAAGAGUGGGUCAGGAGUGAGGCAGAUAGAGUGUGGCAUUUUCUGCUGUGUACACAUAGCAGAGGGAACUCAGCCUUGAACAGAGUCAGACCUUCCUUCUUGUGGUGGAAUACCAGCCCGGGGGGACUUACAGGUGUUUAGAAACCAAGAAAAAACCCACAAAACCUACUCUGGGCAGUAUCAUGAAAGCUGGAAACUUCAAUGGCAGCUGGGCAGGGGUCAUCACAGUUCGGAUUUGGGGAACUGGGACUGUACUGUUCGACUGUUGUUUAUUGGUAACUCUGCUGUCCAAUCAGGCUGGGGCUGGUUUUGGAAAGUUCUUUUUUUUUUUUUUUUUUUUUUUUUUUUUGAAAAAUUCUCAAUCUUCUGGAAUGCCUCUGACCAAGGAGAGAAUCCUUCCUCACACUUUAUGUGAGUCUGAGAGUAUAUAUUCAUUACUCCUUUAUUUUCUUUUUAAAUAAGUAUUUCGGUGUAGAAAGGGCAAGUGGAGAUAAAGACCUAAUGUGCACAUUCAGAGUCCUAAGGAUGACACCCUCCAUUUACUGAACCAUGUGGGUUAUUACCAUGU